rnacentral:SRP_RNA from 1 species
UGAGCAGGUCCUGCGCAAUAGACCCUUGCGAACCGUGUCAGGUCUUGACGGAAGCAGCACUAAGUAAGUCAGUCUAUGUGACGCAGAUUAGCCUUCUCUGAGU